GGGGCGGGGCCGGGGGCGGGGCCUCGCUGAAGGCUGGAGCAGCGGCCGACUGGGGCUCUGGCUCUGGACUCCAGCGCAGCAUCCUCGCUGCGGCCGCUGCGGCUGGCGGCGGCACUCGGUCAGGUGACAUUCACCAUCACCGCUUUCUUCUUUCAUCAGCAUCUUCAUCACGACCAUCACCAUCACCAUUUCUCUUCCUCCAUCAGAGCUCUUCAAGUUCUGCAAAGGCAGACUCUAUUCAGGCAUGCUUGGAGACUUUCUGCAGUGAUUUCCCCUGUGAAGCAUGGGAGGAAAAAUACAGAUGUUUCAAAGAGAAGGGGAACCUGUCCACUUAUGAAGAGAAGCUUCCUCUGGUGAUCUACUCACUGUGGUAAUUUUGAGAAACCAUAAAGUUUCCCAGACCUUGUCAUUUGCAUAAAUGAAGUUCCAAUGAAAUUCUCUGGAAGCAUGGCAUCAUCUGUGGAUGAUCACUGUGCAGUGAGUAACAGCAGUGGUAUUUUAUCUCUUGUAUACAUGAGCAAUUCAGGGCUCAGAGAGGUUAAUAUGCCUGCUUAAAGGUAUGGCUCUAAAUGGAAUCUGAGUAGUAUUUAUUCUACCUGUUGGGCUUGCAUUCCACCUUCUGUCUGCCCUAGUAAGCCACAGAGAACAUUCCUGGCUUUGAAAUUUGUUAAACUUUCAAAGCAGUAUAAACCAUAAAUAUAGCACAGUAUUCUGGGUAUGGAUUUAGUGAAAAGCAAGAGUUGCUUUUUUAGGCAUUAACAUGAUUACUCUUUCUCUUUUUAGAUAAAGACAGCCACUUUAGAAAAUUUUCUAGGCCUAACUCAUAUUUGGAAAGCUUUGCAAAUAAUUUUUUUAAAAGCCCACAGGUCUGCAGAAAAUGGAAUUCAUCCAUGGAAUUGGCAUCUGUCCUGUCCCCAUUUGCCAGUGUCCUCAUCUCCUUUUAUCUCUGUUUCUACCAUGGCUUCCUCUACCCUCUGCCUACAGGAGACCAACUGGCUUCUUUCCCACCCACCUAAUCCCUAUUGAAAUAAAUAUGAA
rnacentral:lncRNA from 1 species